CUGCUGCCUUCCGUAGGAGUCUGGUCCGUGUCUCAGUACCAGUGUGGGGGACCUUCCUCUCAGAACCCCUACGCAUCGUCGGUUAGGUGGGCCGUUACCCCGCCUACUGCCUAAUGCGCCGCAUGCCCAUCCCUGUCCGGCCGAAGCCUUUCCUGCCUCCGGGAUGCCCCGGUGGCAUGUACGCGGGUUUAGCCCGCCUUUUCGGCGGGUUGUCCCCCUGACAGGGGCAGGUUGCAUACGUGUUACUCACCCGUGCGCCGGUCGCCGGCGGAGAAA
rnacentral:rRNA from 1 species